rnacentral:lncRNA from 1 species
AUGAUUGUGAGGUGCCCUCCUGCCAAGCCAUGUGGAACUGUUGGAAGAAUUCUUCAGCCAUUCGUUGACCUUCAUGACCUUGAAGCUUUGGAAAUUAGAAGCCAGCUCUUCUUUAGAAGGUUCAAUCAGAGAAGCAAACCACAAAACCACACAAGGAUUUGUUCCAGGGAUUUGACCCUUUUCACUUUUGGAAGAUGGUGAAGCGGUCUCUCUAAGGCUGUGGUGUUCAGGUCUUAUGCUGGAGCUGGAAGUGCAAAGAGGUGACAGCAGGCGGCAGAAAACGGGUAAACUGGCAGAGAACAAGAAUUAUUUGUAACCCAAAGUCAUGAUCUAGAGUCCACAGUGGCAAACUGAAAUCCAUGUCAGUCCUUGCUGCCUCUGACCAUGGUGGAAUAAUUGUCCUGCGGAAACAAGGCCCCUUUUCUCAGAGCUCAACGCAUGCACCUGACCCAGGAGUCAGAGACGCUGAAGGAGAGUCCUGGAGAAGCUGGGGCAGGCUCAGAUGCUGUCUCAUGCCAGCGAGGUUGAAACCACCAAGAGUAACUAACGUGCCACCAGGAAGCUGUCUGAUCCUUCUGGAGAAUGAUGUCAAAGCAAGGAUUCAGUGUUGCUUCUGCUAUUGGGAGAUUUGACACUUUGCCAUGACUUAUCCAGAUCAGCCAUGAAGAGUAUAAGUCCCUGUUGCUGAGACCAUGCAUAGCUUUCAUCUCUGCCACCAUGACCACUUGAUUCAGGAGCCCAUUGAUGACGAUAAGUGAUCCUGGGCAAAGAGGCUAACUGAUAUCCACAGAACAGGUCAACCCAUCUGCCUGAUUAUUAAAAUUCUCCUCUGAUGAGGCCACUCUGGUGAGCAGUCACAUGGGACACAGAUGCCUUCACACUUUUUGCUCACCAGGAGAGGUCUACUCACAUAUAUCUUCUCCAAAUAUCCUUGCCAUUAAUUUUUUAAAAAUAGACUUGUUAUUUUACAGUAGUUUUAUAUUUACAAUAGAGUUGCAAAGAAGAUAGAGUCCUCAUACCAUAAGACAUAUGAGAAUUUAUAUCAUAUCUGCCCUUCAUAAAGAAAGUUCCAGCUUUACUUACUUUUAAUACCUUAUAUUACUAUGAAAUAUUUGUUAAAAUUAUUGAACCAAUAUUGAUACAUUAUUAUUAACCAAAGUCCAGACAUCAUGCAGAUUUCCUUAGUUUUUAACCUAAUGUUAAAAACUUGAUUUUUAACUUGAUCUUGAGUGCAACAGUUCUUCAGACAUUCCUUGUUUUUGAUGACUUUGAUAGUUUUAAAGAAGUUUAUAGAAUACCACUCAGGUAUUUUAUAUGGUAUUACUCACGUGGGUUUUGUCUUAUAUUUUUUAAUGAUUAGGCUUUUGAGGAGGCUUUUACAAAGGUAAAGUCCCAUUAUCAUCACAUCAUAUCAAGGGUACAUACUGUCACCAUGACUUAUCCCUGUUGAUGUUAACCUUGGUCACCUGCCAGAGGCAGUCUUGAUCAGAUCUCUUCACCAUAAACCUGUACUUUUCCUCACUUUCAAUACUGCACUCAUCGGAAGGUAGACUUUACAGACUGGCCCCUUUCACUUAGUAAUACACCUGUAAGAUAAUCUAUGUUUUUGCAUGGUGUGAAGUAUCAUUCCUUUUUAUUGCUGAAAUUUUGUUUUCAUUUUGUUUUGUAUAGAUGAACCACAGUUUGCUGGUCCGUUCACCUAAUGAAGGACAUCUUGGUUGUUCCUAAGUUUUGGCAAUUAUGAAUAAAGCUGCUAUAAACAU